ACUAUUCUGUGAAAAAGUGUUUGUUUGUUAAUCAAAAUUUGCUGAAUGAUUUGCACUGCAAUUACAAAUAUGUAGGUUUUCAUUGCUUGUGGAGUAAGUAAAUCUAAUGGUCAAGCAAACGAUCCCUACCGCAAACCAAAACCAGGGAUGUGGCAUCUUUUGGAAAAACACCUCAACUCGGGCAUUUCUAUUGAUAUGGAUCCAUCCUUUUAUGUUGGUGAUGCUGCUGGAAGAGAAAAUGAUCAUAGUGAUGCUGAUAUAAAAUUUGCAGAGGUACUGACUUUUUCUUACUCUUUUUUGAUGAAAGUAAAAAGACAAUGUUCCUCAUUUUGUUAUAUUAUAACAAACUGAGUUUCUGUCCUUUGACCUACUAGUUUUCAAGUAAGCAUUUAGUAUUACUGUUGUAUACUUGUGUCAAAUUUGUAAUUCUACAUUAAAUUCAAGGUGUCAAAUAUGUUCAAUAAAGGCUCCCUUUAAUCCAAA